rnacentral:lncRNA from 1 species
UACAAUCGCUCAGAAGGAUCCUGAUCUUAUUUGGAGACUUGCAUAUUCAUAAUGGCUAUUAACUGUGUUCAGCAGUCAUCCCCUUUCCCCCCAGGAAUCCUGGGAACUGUAGUUCUGGGAUGGGCGCUAGGGCAGGGGCAUUCCGGGGGUGGAAUACAACAUAGCACUAACGAGAUAGUUUCGUCAGUGCAAGCACCUGGAUAGCUCAGUUGGUUAGAGUGUGGUCCUGAUAAUGCCAAGGUUGCAGGUUUGAUCCCCGUAUAGGGCAGCUGCGUAUUCCUGCAUUGCAGGGCGUUGGACUAGAUUAUUCUCAGGGUCCCUUUCAACUCUACAGUUCUAUGAUUUGUAAGCAUUGAAUCCUUCCCUUCCUCUCCCCCAUUUAUGCUUGCCUGCUGGGAGCAAUCUUCCCUCUUGCCACGGCCACCCCACUGUUCUGGGGGUUCUACUGACCGUCCAGAGUGGAUUGGGGGGAGCUGCAGCACAGCAGGAGAGGGAAAAGCCUUGUGCUGGCUUUGGCUAGUGGUACAGGCUAGUUGAAUCCAGCCUCAGAAUUCAUUCCAACCUCUAUCUGCCCUAGCCAACAUGGGAAUUGUAGUCCGGCAACAUUUGGACCAUCACAGAUUCACUAGCCCAGGCUAGGAAUAUCAUAGAGUUCUCUGCAUCUUCACCAAACCACAAUUCCUGGGUUUCUGAGGGAAAAGAUGGCAUGAUUAAAAUGGUUUUUAAAAGUGUAUGCAUCUCUAAUGUUCCUAGGACGCAUUAGCGCCAGAUGCAUUGCCCAGAAUAAGUUUAUAGCUCUUUCUCAGGGCAGAGACUGGAAAGAGCUUCAGUCUCUCGUAUCAAACAAGACAAAACCUGCUGUUUUGGAGUAGUGUUUACUCAGAAACAAUUCUUAUUUUGCUCCUUGGUGGCGCAACUCGCAUAGCAAGGACAGUCAAUGAAAAUAGUUUGUCCCUCCUUUUCCUUGAAAGGAACUGGGUGGUGCAAUCACACCAUAAGCUUGUGAAACAGGUAGCACCAAGGAUAUGGACUGUGCCUUGAGUGUGGUGGUGUGUCAGCCUUUGCCAACCUGGUACCCUCCAGGUGGUUCAGACUACAAUUCCCAUCAGCCUCAGGAGAGCACCAGGUUGGCAAAGGAUGUCUUAUACAUGUGUUUUGCAUUUCCAGUCCAUUCAGUUAAGAUUACAACAAAAUAGUGGCAUGGUUAAAACUUGGAUAAUUGGCUGCUUGUCCAAACUGAUGGAUUCCUGAGUGGUUUCUGUGAUUAUCUGUUGCAGAAAAGACAAACAUGAGUCCUUUGGCACUUAAUAUAUUUAUUCUAGCAUAUGAUCAGUGAAAACCACAAUAAACCCCUUAGGCUGCAAUUCUAAGCAUACUUCUUAGGGACUAAGUGCCAUUGAACACACUUGGACUUCUUUCCAAGUAAACAUGCAUAGGAUUGCACUUUUGAGGGUGCUAAAGGACUCUUUUUAAUACGCUGCAGAUUAAUCAUCAUGGGGGUGUUUUUUUAAGCAGGGCGGGGAAAUAGUUAAAUUUAAAUAAAUCAGAAUCCAUACGUGGGUGUCUUUCCAAAACCAGAGAAGAAAUAUGGAGUGGUUUCUUUUGGGUGUUAGCAUGCCUCUCAUUGCUAGACAGCAGCAAUUCAGUCUUAAAUGCUUUCUCCCCCACCAGCUUGUGAAUCUGGUGUAAAGAGCAUUGCCAAUUACAGUUGAGCCAAGUCUGGAAAACAAGUCUCGGCUGAAAUACUCCAGUCUAGAGCUCUGUGACCAGCAACCUGGAAAGAGAGGUCAGUGGGUCAUCUGUACUUGUGCUUGGCUGCCAGGGAGGCAGGACUUUACAGCCGCACUGAAUCCAGUGACUUGGAUUGCACCAGCUGCCGGCAGAAUGCAAAGCAGCUACAGAAUAAACACAUUAUGCAAGCUGAGGUCAGUGUUGGAUGAAACUGCUGUGUGACAUGGGGCUGAGUAACCGAAAGCCCUCACCCUGCCUCCACACUAUAGCUUAACCAGGCCCAUCCUCCUCCUCUUCCAGCUCCCCACUUGCUACCCCUGCCUGGGUUUCCCAUACUUCUGCGUCGACAGAAGACUGCUUUUGACUACAGCAGACACCGCAGCUUGCUGUUUCAGCAUAUGCAGGAGCAGCUUUCUCCCACAAAGUCAACAAUGGAAUUAUAAAAUGGGGCUGGGACCAGACUUUGGGCUUGUGAGAUCUGCUUUAGUUUCUUGCAAGAACCCCAGAUGACCACUAAUCACAGCUGGUGCCAAAACAGUGUAUGUAGGGAGGGGGAAGUCAAUGACCUAUUGUACCCCAUGAGGCAUAGACUGAAUGUACAAAUACAAAAUCUACAUCUGAGUUACUAUAGAUCAGGGAAUCAAAACCACAAUUCUCAAAGUGGCCAGCACAGCUACUCAAAGGCAACGAAUCGAUACUGAUAUUUUAUAGGUGAGGAGCAGUGAGCCACGGCAGAGAACCUUUUCAAAAACAAGAUUCAGUAUGGACAAAAGAAAGGCCUUCUUCACAUCGUGCGGAAUGCAGCAAUAGUGCGUGAGAUGCAGCAGUGGUCAACAACUUGGAUGGCUGUAAAAGAGGAUUGAAGAAGUUCAUGAAGGAUAAGUCUAGCACUUUUUCUUUUUCUUUUUUUUUAAAAAAAUGAUAUUUAUUGCUUUUAAACCUUACAAAAAGAAGAAAAGAAAAGAAAAAAAAGAAGAAGGGGAAAAAAGCAAAAGAGAAAACAAUACAAUACAAUACAAUAUAUAAACAAUACAAAACGCAACAUUAACAUUAACACAUUAUACAAAACAAAAGCAAAAACAAUUCAAAAAACACACAUCAUACCAUCUCAAUAUCCUCUCUUUCAUUCCCUUGUUUCAUCGACCUCCUCUCACCUCCCUUUUUGUAUUCCAUUUCUAUUAAUUGUUUCAGCAAAUCCUUUCCAUCUUUCUCUAUUUUCUGUCAUGUAAUUAUCUUAACAUAUUUUAACCUUAUUUUCCAUUAAUACUAUAAUACUUAUUUAUACUUAAUUCCUUAAAAUAUUUCUACUAAAGCCGUAUAAUUCCCUUCCAACAUUUUUCUAACACUCAUUAAUUUUACAUUAUUUCCAUAUAUAGAUUUUAAACUUUUUCCAAUAUUUUUCCACCGUCUCUUCUCCCUGGUCUCGGGUUCUGCCAGUCAUUUCCGUCAAUUCCAUAUAGCCCAUCAACCUGGUGAUCUUCUGUCCGAGGCUCUUAACUCUUUUCCAGGUCCCUUCUGCAAGUCUUCUUCAUAUUUAUACAUGCACUUUACUUUGUCUUCUCCUGAUCUUGUUCUUAUUUUCCUUCCUUUGAUGCUGAAAAGUAGAUCUCCGGGAAAUUCCCAUCUAGCAAUGCUUUUAUUCCUUUUUUUUUUUUGUAAGAUAUUUAUUAAGAUUUUCAAAAUAUUAC